rnacentral:rRNA from 1 species
GGUAAUACGUAGGUGGCAAGCGUUAUCCGGAAUUAUUGGGCGUAAAGAGUGAGCAGGCGGUUUUUUAAGUCUGAAGUCAAAUCCUGUGGCUCAACCACAGUUCGCUUUGGAAACUGAAGAACUAGAGUGCGGGAGAGGUAAGCGGAAUUCCAUAUGUAGCGGUGAAAUGCACAGAUAUAUGGAGGAACACCGGCGGCGAAGGCGGCUUACCAGCCCGAUACUGACGCUCAGUCACGAAAGCGUGGGGAGCAAAUAGGCUUAGAUACCCUAGUAGUCCACGCCGUAAACGUUGAGGACCUGAUGCCGGAGUAUUUCGGUGUCGUAGCUAACGCGUUAAGUCCUCCGCCUGGGUACUACGUUCGCAAGAAUAAAACUUAAAGGAAUUGACGGGGGCCCGCACAAGCAGUGGAGCAUGUGGUUUAAUUCGUUGCUACGCGAAAAACCUUACCAGGGUUUGACAUCCCGCUAAAAGUCUUGGAAACAAGAUCAUAGUUAUAGCGGUGAAAGGUGGUGCAUGGUUGUCGUCAGCUCGUGUCGUGAGAUGUUGGGUUAAGUCCCCUAACGAGCGCAACCCUUGUCUCUAUUUGCCAUCAUUAAGUUGGGAACUAUAGAGAGACUGCCGGUGCAAACCGGAGGAAGAUGGGGAUGACGUCAAAUCAUCAUGCCCCUUAUGCCCUGGGCCACACACGUGCUACAAUGGCCGGUACAGAGAGAAGCAAUCCC